GUCGAAAGACGAAGGCUAAGCUAGGGUAUUUCAUUACCCAACAGUAGGAGCUGAUUCGUGAGUUCGCCUCACUCAGUUUAGAGAUUGUUUAUUCCCCAGAUUCAGUAUCGGGUUGUGUAGCUGUGCUGACAGCUAAACCUGAUUUGAGAGAAAGAAUUUUGCAAGCACAAAGAGAAGAUUGGUUCUUGAAGAAGAUGCGUCUCGCUGCAUGAACGAAUGAAACGAAAAGAUUAACUGAAGCAAAGGAUAAUACACUUGUGGUUGGUGAAAGAUUGUGUGUGCCGCACAAUGAAGAGUUAAAGAACGAGAUUAUGAGCGAAGCUCAUGAUACUCCAUACACUGCACACCCAGGCAGUACAAAGAUGCACCAGAAUUUAAAGAAAAUUUUCUGAUGAACAGGAAUGAAAAGAGAUAGUACGCCUUCACGGUGUACCUGUAUCUAUCACGUCAGAUCGUGACACCAGAUUCACAUCGCGUUUCUGGAAAAGUUUACAAGAAGCAAUGGGCACUCAGCUGAAUUUCAGCACAGCAUACCAUCCUCAGACUGACUGACAGUCAGAAAGAACGAUUCAGAUUCUAAAAUUUUCGUUGCGAACAAUUAUCGCAGACAAAGGUAGAAGUUAGGAGAAUUUGUUACCUCUCGAAGAAUUUGCUUAUAACAACAGUUAUCAAGCAACAUUUGGAAUAAUCCAGAUGAGGUCUUGUAUAGCCGAAAAUGUAGUUCACCACUUUACUAAGAUGAAGUGGGUGAAAGAAAGCUGUUAGGUCCUGAACUGGUCCAACAGAUGGUUGAGAAGGUCGACCACAUCAAGCAAAGAAUCAAAGAAGCUCAAGAUAGACAAAAGUCUUACGCCGAUAAACGCCGAUCGGAGUUAGAAUUCAAUGUUGGGGAUCGAGUUUUCCUCAAAAGUUUCUCACUCAAAGGGAGUUAUACGUUUCAGAAAGAGGGGCAAGUUACGACCCUGUUAUAUAGGACCUUUUGAGAUCCUAGAUAAGAUAGGCCCUGUAGCCUAUAGGUUGGCAUUGCCGCCCAGUAUUGGAGACAUACACAAUGUGUUUCAUGUCUCUCAGUUAAGAAAGUAUGUGUUUAAUCCAAAGCAUUUGAUUAAGCCAGAUAAAGUAGUCCUAGCCAGGACUAAAGUUAUGAAGAGAAACCAGUCCAGAUACUUGAUCGCAAGGUUCAAGUUUUACGAGGCAAUAAUAUUGUUCUCGUCAUGUAGUGGAACCAUCACAAGAUGGAAAAGGCCACAAAAGAGAUGAAUGAAACAAAUGACUAGUAUCACAAGCUAGAAUACCAGACAUGCAAUUCCGAGGACGGAAUUUUUUUUAAGGAGGGAGAGAUGUAAUACCCCGUUUCCCCGAGCUAAAUUUAGAAUUUAUUUUCGAACUUAGAUUUAAGAUGAUUCACGCCGGAUUGAGAAAAAGAAUUUAUUUUAAUUCCAACAAAAAUGAUUUUCAAAAGUUUUGAAAAUUUGAGUUAUUUAAUUUCAUUGAAUUUAUAUGCAUUGCAUAUUUAUUUAAAUUAGCAUUUAAGUAUUUUCACGAGCUAUUUAAUUAGCAAACCCUGAAGAAUUUCUACAGUUUCGACAAUUUUAUCCUGAAGGAUUUUAAUUGUCCAAUAAACACUCAUAUCCUACUCUCCCAUCAGCCACCCAUCAGCCACCUUAUAGCCAGCUAAAAGCAAGCAUCCCACACCCACCUACUCCUUUCUUUUUGAAAAGUCAACAUCACCACCCACUUCCACCACCAACAUCACCAUCAAUCCUCUGCACUAUACCUAUUACAGCACACUCCAUGCUUCUAAAAAUUCAUUGACAUACUUUAGUCAUUCUCAUCCAUUUCAUCACAAUCCCUCACGCAAUUCAUCAUCUUUCACUCUCACAAGAAACACCAAGACAAAGCGGCCAAACAAAUUCAAGCAAACCGACCCAACCGAAAUCUUUCUAAAAGGCUUUGUGACCAGGGGGAUUAGCGCUGCUUUCCCAAGACAUGUUUUUAUGUGUAUGAUCUUCAGGCUUUGCCUAUCCAGGUGGGCUUACUUUCCAAAUGUACAAAGUAUGAUUGAGUUAUUAAGCUCUAAAUGUUUCAAUGAAAUGCAAAUUGUUUAUUUAAUGUAAUGAAAACUGUUUAUCCAAUAAAAUGUUUAUGUGCACUCUGCUCUGUUUAAGGCUCGCGCAGUUAAUCAAUUGAGGUUCUCUUAUGACCUAAUACGUUAUUUGAGAAUUGUGUACACUUGUUAGUUGACUCGGUGGGUUGAUCUCCAUCGGGCUCUAACCAGAGGCGUUAUAAGGGUGCUCGGCUGGAUGUGUUCCGGAGCAUGAGAAAUAUCAGGCCUGCCUGGGUAGCGUCCCGAGGUCAAAGUAAACUUGUCUGGGUUACGCCCUCAGUUCAAGUAAGCAGGAGACAGAGAUCCGUCGGUGGCUAAAAGGUCCGGGAUCACAGCGAGUAACAGAAAGGGAGUGUGACAUGUGCGCACAAAUGAAAGAAAAUGUUUUAACAUGCUUAGAAGUACUUCUUUCAAUUUAAAACCUUCUAAGUCAUGUCAAGUAUGAUUGGAUAAACUGUCUUUAAGAAAAUAAUGAAAUGUUUAUGAAAAUGCAUGCCCACUAAGUACAUUAGUACUUAGCCCAAAAAUACUUUCAAAUGUUUUCAGGUUGGCUGGCCGGUGCUGACGGGACGGAGCUGAGGCUAGAGAUAAAUUCCUAUGUUAGACUUCCGCUGUAGCAAUUACUCAUAUCAGUCUUUUGUUUUCCCAACUUAAGAUCUUCAUGUUAAAUUUCAAAUGAUAUAUCUGACCGAGCUUAGACUCUUCACUACUUAAUUUAUGCCAAUGAAUGUCGGUUGUCAGAA